rnacentral:rRNA from 1 species
AUUGAACGCUGGCGGCAUGCCUUACACAUGCAAGUCGAACGGCAGCACGGGAGCAAUCCUGGUGGCGAGUGGCGAACGGGUGAGUAAAGUAUCGGAACGUGCCCAGUCGUGAGGGAUAACGUAGCGAAAGUUACGCUAAUACCGCAUACGAUCUAUGGAUGAAAGCGGGGAUCGCAAGACCUCGCGCGAUUGGAGCGGCCGAUAUCAGAUUAGGUAGUUGGUGGGGUAAAGGCUCACCAAGCCGACGAUCUGUAGCUAGUCUGAGAGGACGACCAGCCACACUGGGACUGAGACACGGCCCAGACUCCUACGGGAGGCAGCAGAGGGGAAUUUUGGACAAUGGGCGAAAGCCUGAUCCAGCCAUGCCGCGUGCAGGAUGAAGGCCUUCGGGUUGUAAACUGCUUUUGUACGGAACGAAAAAGUUUGGCCUAAUAAGCUGAGCUCAUGACGGUACCGUAAGAAUAAGCACCGGCUAACUACGUGCCAGCCGCCGCAGUAA